rnacentral:rRNA from 1 species
GCAGCAGUGAGGAAUAUUGGUCAAUGGACGAAAGUCUGAACCAGCCAUGUCGCGUGUAGGAAGACUGCCCUAUGGGUUGUAAACUACUUUUAUACGGGAAGAAUGUUACCCUCGUGAGGGUAUUUGCCGGUACCGUAUGAAUAAGCAUCGGCUAACUCCGUGCCAGCAGCCGCGGUAAUACGGAGGAUGCGAGCGUUAUCCGGAUUUAUUGGGUUUAAAGGGUGCGUAGGCGGACUAAUAAGUCAGUGGUGAAAUCCUGCAGCUCAACUGUAGAACUGCCAUUGAUACUGUUAGUCUUGAAUUUAGUUGAGGUAGGCGGAAUGUGUUGUGUAGCGGUGAAAUGCAUAGAUAUAACACAGAACACCGAUUGCGAAGGCAGCUUACUAAGCUAUAAUUGACGCUGAUGCACGAAAGCGUGGGGAGCGAACAGGAUUAGAUACCCUGGUAGUCCACGCCGUAAACGAUGAUUACUCGUUGUUGGCAAUACAUGGUCAGCGACUGAGCGAAAGCAUUAAGU